GACGAACGCUGGCGGCGUGCCUAAUACAUGCAAGUAGAACGCUGAAGAGAGGAGUUUACUCUUCUUGGAUGAGUUGCGAACGGGUGAGUAACGCGUAGGUAACCUGCCUUGUAGCGGGGGAUAACUAUUGGAAACGAUAGCUAAUACCGCAUAACAAUGGAUGACACAUGUCAUUUAUUUGAAAGGGGCAAUUGCUCCACUACAAGAUGGACCUGCGUUGUAUUAGCUAGUAGGUGAGGUAAUGGCUCACCUAGGCGACGAUACAUAGCCGACCUGAGAGGGUGAUCGGCCACACUGGGACUGAGACACGGCCCAGACUCCUACGGGAGGCAGCAGUAGGGAAUCUUCGGCAAUGGGGGCAACCCUGACCGAGCAACGCCGCGUGAGUGAAGAAGGUUUUCGGAUCGUAAAGCUCUGUUGUAAGUCAAGAACGGGUGUGAGAGUGGAAAGUUCACACUGUGACGGUAGCUUACCAGAAAGGGACGGCUAACUACGUG
rnacentral:rRNA from 1 species